GUGGCUUAAUUGGUUAAAGCACCGGACUAGCCAGACGGAGUUGUGGGAUCGAAUCCCACC
rnacentral:tRNA from 1 species